rnacentral:rRNA from 1 species
CAAGAGCGUAUGUAAAAGUUGUUGCAGUUAAAAAGCUCGUAGUUGAACCUUGGGUUUGGUUGGCCGGUCCGCUUUUUUGCGAGUACUGGAUUCAACCGAGCCUUUCCUUCUGGCUAACCAGUCGUUUCGGCGGCUGGCGAACCAGGAUUUUUACUUUGAGAAAAUUAGAGUGUUCAAAGCAGGCAUUAGCUUGAAUAUAUUAGCAUGGAGUAAUAGAAUAGGACGUUAUGGUUCUAUUUUGUUGGUUUCUAGGACCAUCGUAAUGAUUAAUAGGGACGGUCGGGGGCAUCAGUAUUCAGUUGUCAGAGGUGAAAUUCUUGGAUUUACUGAAGACUAACUACUGCGAAAGCAUUUGCCAAGGACGUUUUCAUUAA